rnacentral:tRNA from 4 species
GCGCUUGUGGCGGAACUGGCAGACGCGCAGCGUUCAGAUCGCUGUUUGGGUUUCCAAGUGCAGGUUCGAUUCCUGUCAGGCGCA